rnacentral:rRNA from 1 species
AUUGAACGCUGGCGGCAGGCCUAACACAUGCAAGUCGAACGAGUUGCGGACGGGUGAGUAAUGUCUGGGAAACUGCCCGAUGGAGGGGGAUAACUACUGGAAACGGUAGCUAAUACCGCAUACCAUCGGAUGUGCCCAGAUGGGAUUAGCUUGUUGGUGGGGUAACGGCUCACCAAGGCGACGAUCCCUAGCUGGUCUGAGAGGAUGACCAGCCACCCGGGAACGGAGCCACGGUCCAGACUCCUACGGGAGGCAGCAGUGGGGAAUAUUGCACAAUGGGCGCCAGUCUGAUGCAGCCAUGCCGCGUGUAUGAAGAAGGCUUUCGGGUUGUAAAGUACUUUCAGCGGGGAGGCGGUACCCGCAGCAGAAGCACCGGCUAACUCCGUGCCAGCAGCCGCGGUAAUUC